UAUUCAAAUACAAUACAAUCUAUAUGCCUUCCACCUGAGCAACCAAGUUCUUACAGCGCUAACUAGAGAAGGUGCAGGGGAGGGGGGGAGGACUGGAUAAAGUUAUUUUUGUGGCAGUUAAGCUUCGAUUACUUGUAGAUCCAUAAAUCAUCAGCCAAGGUUCUCUUUUCUCCAGCAGUGAGCACAGGGAGGAGGAGGUGCAUGCAAGCGAUACUGCAGGGCCAGAAUCAGAAUCAUCAGCACGUAGCAACUGAUUGGAUUUCUGGAGCAAGAAAGAAGAGUUGAAGAUAAUGUUGAACUUUCUCAUUGGGAGAUUUUACUAACAUUAUUGAGCAAUUACUGCAUGAUGGAUGUUACGCUAAGAGCAUUCUACAAUUAUUAUACCUCUUACGUCUCCCAGUAGUUCUGUUAAGCACUGAAUACUGUGGAUACAAAGAGCCCAGAGUCAUCAAGAGGAACCAGGAACUCUAACAUGAUGUGUGGAGCAGGCUAUGCAAAGAGGGGUACCUCUCCCAGUCAGAGGCAUCAGAGAAGGCUUCCUGGUGGAGAACGUGUGUGAUGGACUUAUGGACUCAUUCACUGCAUCGAUCUUGGGCACUGCCCAGCUUCAUGUUCCACUCUCCCGUUUAUCCCAAAUUGCUGAGGAUUUCCUAAGAACCAUCACUUUCCAGAGCUCAUUAUUUUCUGUUAUUUGCCUCAGCAGCACAAGCUGUUUUCACAAAGAAAUAAAGGGUCUUCUAUUCCAGAAGAGUUCUUCUAUGCAUGUAGGUGAGCAGACAGUGCAGAGCCAUGCUGAGGUGUGUGUGCCUUGCUGUCACUGUCUCUCCUCCGGGAGGAACACUAGGCUCCUGUACACCAGGCUUCCCACAGCCCAGGAGGAACACAUCCACGCCUUGCCAGUCAUUUGCAUCUUAGUAAGACUAAAACUAAUAAAACUAACAAUAAAACUUAAAAUAGAUUGAAGGAUUACAGUAUGCCAAGCAUAUAUGUAUUGUGUUAUUUGGCCCUCACAGUCACCUUUUGAGCUAGGCACCAGUACCAGCUUUAAGA
rnacentral:lncRNA from 1 species